CAGGUGGCUGCCAUGCGAGGCGCUGCCCGUCCCCUCGCUGCUCUGCACACCGUCCCUGCUGCGCGCCCGGCGCCGUGCUGCUCUGCUCGCCAUGGGAGGAUGCUUCUCCAAGCCCAAGCCAGUUGAAGUGAAAAUCGAGGUUGUGAUACCUGAGAAGGAGAGGAGCAAGGAGGAGAUGUCACCCAACGGGAAAGCCAGCCCAUUGGUUUACAAGGUCAAUGGGACUGCCCGGCAUUACCAUCUCGAGGAGCAUCCCAUUGCCAGCAACCCCUACCACAACCCAAAGGAUGUAGUGGAAGCGUCUGUGUGCCAUGUGAAGGACCUGGAGAAUGGACAGAUGCGUGAGGUGGACCUGGGCUGUGGGAAGGCACUGCUGAUCAAGGAGGCUGGAGAGUUCUAUGCCAUGGGACACAAAUGCCCCCACUAUGGGGCCCCGCUGGUUAAAGGGGUUUUGUCCAAAGGAAGGGUCCGCUGCCCCUGGCAUGGGGCUUGUUUCAACAUUGGCACUGGUGACAUUGAGGACUUUCCUGGCUUGGACAGCCUGCCCAGGUUCCAGGUGAAGAUUGAGAAGGAGAAGGUGUAUAUCCGAGCAAGCAAGCAGGCUCUUCAGACACAGAGGAGGACGAAGAUGAUGGCAAAGUGCAUCUCCUUGAGCAACUACAACCUGAGCAGUACCAACGUGCUGAUCAUCGGUGCAGGUGCAGCAGGGUUAGUCUGUGCAGAGACGUUGCGCCAGGAGGGUUUCUCAGACAGGAUUGUAAUGUGCACGAUGGACAGACACUUGCCCUACGACAGACCGAAGCUCAGCAAGUCCAUGGAUUCCCACCCAGAGCAGAUUGCCCUGCGCCCCAAGGAGUUCUUCCGCACGUACGACAUCGAAGUCCUGACAGAAAUGCAGGCUGCGGCUGUGGAUAUCAAGAACAAGACGGCUGUGUUCAAGGAUGGAUUUAAGAUGGAGUACAACAAACUGCUGAUAGCGACUGGAAACACGCCCAAAGCUCUCAGCUGUAAGGGCAAGGAAGUGGAAAACGUUUUCAACAUCCGGACGCCAGAAGACGCGAACCGCGUGGUGAAGUUGGCCACCAGCAAGAACGUGGUGAUAGUGGGAGCUUCCUUCCUUGGGAUGGAGGUGGCUGCCUACCUGACGGAGAGGGCCCACUCGGUGUCUGUGGUGGAGCUGGAGGAGGUCCCAUUCAAGAAGUUCUUUGGGGAGAGAGUUGGUCGUGCUGUCAUGAAGAUGUUCGAGAGCCACAGGGUGAAGUUCUACAUGCAGACUGAGGUGUCGGAGCUCCGGGAGCAGGAGGGCAAGCUGAAGGAGGUGGUGCUGAAGAGUGGGAAGGUCCUGCGCGCAGACGUUUGUGUCGUUGGCAUAGGUGCAGUGCCAGCGACGGGAUUUCUCAAGCAGAGUGGCAUCAACAUUGACUCCAAAGGCUUCAUCGUGGUCAACAAGAUGAUGCAGACCAACAUCCCUGGAGUGUUUGCAGCUGGUGAUGCUGUCACGUUCCCACUGGCCUUGAGGAACAAUAAGAAAGUGAAUGUCCCCCACUGGCAGAUGGCCCACAUGCAUGGCCGUAUUGCAGCACUGAAUAUGCUGGCCCACGGCACGGAGAUCAGCACAGUCCCCUAUUUGUGGACUGCAAUGUUUGGGAAAAGCAUUCGAUAUGCAGGCCACGGGGAAGGAUUUGAUGAUGUUGUCAUUCAAGGGGACUUGGAUGAACUGAAGUUCGUUGCAUUUUAUACCAAGGCGCAACAGAGGCAGCGAUUUAUCCCAACCCUAAUUAGAAAGGAAAUGCCAGAGCACUUUAAUAAAACAUCUGUGGAGCUCUUUCAAGAGCCAGGAGGGGCCCCAGGAGAUGGCUUUGGUGUGGCAGGACGGCACCGUGCGCCGAGAGCUGGAGGAGUGACGAGGUGGUGGCUGUGGCCAGCAUGAACUACGACCCCAUUGUUUCCAAGGUGGCCGAGGUCCUGGCUGCUGGCAGGGCCAUCCGAAAGCGUGACGUGGAAACUGGAGAUAUGUCCUGGCUAACGGGAAAAGGCUCCUAACAGACAUGGCUGCAACCUCCUGAUACUGCUCUGGCCUCGAGGAGAUGGGGAUGGCUGCAGAGCUCCACGGCACGAUGCAAAUAAUGCCCCCGAGUCAUCUUCCCUUGAGAUUUGGCCAAACCCAGCCUUUUUCACCAAGCAGUCACCUUCCCAGCAGCUCUGUGCAUGCAAACCGCUGCCAGCUCUCCUGGGUGUGGGGUCAGUGGGUGGAAUCCCCACUGCAAAGUCAAGGAAACAGACCCUGGGGGAGCAGGGUUGGCACCAGCAUGGCUGGCAAGGAGCUGCAGACUGCUGCCAUGGGGCCCACGGUGCUGGUGGGUGCCACAUCCAUGCUCUCCAAGCGGCACAACAAGAGCUCCAAGCACAUCCCUUCACCUUAUGAACAGCAUGAGUGCCUUUUGUUGUUCUCUGUAGCCAGUACAUGCUCUCAAGCACAUUGCUCCUUCCUAGAUCCUCUUUCCUCCACAUGGAGCCCAGCAUCUGCACCUUCUCCUUAAUGGUAAUGGAAAGAUUGACAUUGCUGCUGCCAUGCUACUGCAGGCAGAACAGCUGGAGGAGUAUUUCUGGCUGUUUGCUGCCCUUAGUCAUUUACUCUUCCUGUCUCCUGAUGGCAGAGCUACAUAUCUCAUCUCAACUGGCAGAGUCAGUGCUCUGUGGCCAUGCUUGCUGCUCCUGGCUGGCAGAAGGGCCCCAGUUCUUGCUCAGGAGUGGAGGUGGCCAGAUCAGAUCCCUGUGUUUGUCCACCCAGCAGAGCCAGGUGUGAGAUUCCCCCAUGGACAGCAUCCAGUUCUGUCCUUUGGGAGCUUUGUUCCCCAUCUGUCAUUGCAUUACCCUCAGCCCAAAGCCAGAAAAUUGUUAUUUUCAGUUUGAUUCAUCCCCCCCUUAUGAACGAAAGCAGUGCUCCUAUUGUGAUCCAGACCCUUUCUGCUCCCUUCCAAGCCCAGCAGGUUGGGCAGAUGGUGCCUGCACCUCCUGUGCAGGAUUCCCUUGGUGUCCCAUGUCCUGCUCAUCUUUAUCUCCAAACUUUCAGAUCUUUGCUCAGGUGGCAACAUCAGCAGUCACACCUUCUCUUGGCCCCUUCUGCUUUCACUGCCAGGUUUUUCCCAGGCAGUGUGACCAGUGGUGGCUGUAGGCAGGGAUGUGGGCACAGUGCCCAGCUGCUGCUUUGGAUCCAUGGGCAGCUGUGGCUUUGCAUCACAUAUCUUGCUGCUGGGGUGGUCAGACGCCAUCCAGCAGCACUGGGAUCGUUUACCUGUUAUUGCUCUGCUCCUUCUUUCCUCACUGCCCCGGCACAGCAGCUCUGUGUGCCCCCCAGCAGAGCCUGGCUGACCUUUUCCAAAGCACCACCUUUCUGCUCACCCAGAGGCACCAUCACUGAAGUGCUCCCACACAGAUGUGCAGUGUUUUGCUUUUCAGGAAAAGCAUGUCCUGUCCACGGAUGGCCAAAUAGACCAGCAGGACCUCAUGGGCUUUUCUACUGGUUUAUCAGCCUUCCUUAGUGCACUGUCCUAACCUAGUGACAGACCAACACUCAGAGCAUGCUCUAUUUAUUCCAUACCUUAUAACAUUGCCUGGGAUAUCCACGUAGCAUAGGGUUUUUCCCCAAAAGAGAGUCCUUCGUGGGACCUCCUAGCACUCCUCCUUCUUCCCAGCAGCCUGUGUGAUGUACUCCACAGCUUAGCUUUAAGCAAGUAGAAAAAUCCUUUUUAUUUGGUUUCUCGUGUCCCUUACCAGGGUCUGGCUCUUAAGAAAUGGCCUCAAUAGCAGCAGCCAGACCAGGCACUGGCAGCAGCUGCUGCCCGAGGCACCUGCUGGGAUGGGGUGAAGGCUGAAGAGCACAAGGAGAACCAUUGGGGGCCCACACCUGUGUGAGGACCCACACAUCCACGAUGGAGACCACCUGCUCCAAGGGGGGCAAAAAGCUCCAUGGGCCUGGGGACUUGAGGACUCGUUUUUUGGCAACGUCACCUCGAUGCCAACGUGGAGAUGGUGGAGCACUUCUGCUGCGGUGUCCCUUCUGCGAUGGGGCACAUCCACAUCCGUCAGGGAAUUUUAAGCAAUAACGAUGCUGAUACAAUGCAGCGGGGAGAGGGUGCAAUGGGGCAGAGUGCUGCGUGGAGGGGAUGGUGGUGACAGAGGACGGCCACCACCUGCUGCUGCCCCACUGCUGGAAAUGCUCUGUACCCUUGGGCUCAGUGUCUGGGAGCUCUCACUGUGGCAAUAAAGGCCCUUCCCCAGCA